CUGUUAUAGGUUUUUAAAUUCCAGCUGACUUCAGAGGACAUGAAAGUCCUAAAUGGCCUGAACAAAAAUCUUCGUUAUAUUACCAUUGAUUUGGCUGCUGACCACCCUAAUUAUCCAUUUUCAGAUGAAUAUUAGGCCUUUCUUGACUUUCAGCAGAAGCCUCUGGAUGUGGACAGUGACAUGUAUGGUGUGUCAGAUGCUGAUUAGUUCACGCUUUACUUCUCACACAUUUAUGCUGAUUGUAUUUUCUCAUUCUGCUGAAGCUAACAACACAGAUCUGGAAGGAAGGCACUGAAAUAUUAUCACAUUUUAAUAAAUAAAUAUUGUUUGCCCUAACA